UAGUUUAGGGUUUAGUGGCUCUUUGACAGAAGCACUGUAUGCCUCAGUCAGUGGCCACAGGAAGCUGCAGUUCCUCGUUUAACCGCUAGCUGAAACUCCGGAGCUGGAGCACAGCUGCAGACAGUACUCGCUAAUCAGCAGCUGGUCAGGUUUGGAGACUCGGGCAAAAACCUCCAGCUCUGAAGCUCCUGCUGAAUAUGUGUGUGGAAUGUGUAGCUAAAACUCCUGGAGGAAAGGGAGUAAAGAUGUUUGAUCCCACUAACUGGAGAAUACCGCUCUCAACAGAGCAGCUUUCAGCCCAUACUGUGUGGUUUUUGGGGUUAAACAUCACUGAACAGCGCACUCAGAACAACAGCGCACAACUGAGAGAAGUCUAAUGCGGCACUUUAAAAGCACUGGAUAGUAAGGUCAUUGUAAGCUCUUCAUCUACUGGUUUGUCAACUGGCCCAACCAUGGGCACCAACUGUCUUCGUGAGCUUAGCAUCAGUGCUUCCUUUGCUCUCUCUGGAGACACCAGUGGAGGCAAGUUUGCGGGCUCCUGGAACCCGCUGUCUUCUUCUAUGACUACAGGGCUCUGGUCAUCUGCGCUUAUUGAAGAGGUCUCAGUGGAGGUGUGGGAGGACCAAGCUCCCGAUGGAGGGGGCUGGUAAAUAACCUCUCGGCGAGCAACCCCAGGUGAAGUGCGGCCUCCUUUUCCUGGGGAGUUACUGGGGCUGCGUCGCUUCUGUCUGCGCUGCUUCUCGUGGGCUACCACAUCCGCGUCGCUAUCCGUCUCUCCAUAAUAGGCCUCGCUGCAUGGAGGGGAGGUCAGACCGCUGCGGCCUGUCGGGGACAUCAUUGAGCCGUGGUGGACUUGCCGGACACUGGGCUGCUGGGGUCUGGAGCCGGAGCUGGAUGGGGAUUUGGCCCUAAGGGCAGCACGGUACUCUUUGUCAAUGCGGGGAGAAGGAGCUCGUUGCACCAGAACUACCGACUGGAAGCCAGCCGGUGUCCUGACACAUGUGUAAAGGAGUAAAUUGGCAAAGGAAAAUGGACAGUGGGUGGUAAUGAUUGUGACCGGCGGCAUUUGGCUACAACUGUCUGUGCAAACACAUCCACAUUCAAUGCAGGAAACCCCACAUAUCCAUCAGGUAGGAAAAGUAUUAGGGAGCAAGUGAACAGUCGAUUCCUGAAGUUGAUGAGGUGGAAUCAGAAAAAAAUGGGUAAGCAUAAGAAUCU